CCGGCAUGUGGAACUCCACGGCUGUGGCCUUUAACACGAACCCUGACUAGGCGAAACCAGAAGCCAUGACACAACCCAUGCCAACCAGUCUGAGUGAAACACCAGACAUGAUGACCCCUGUUGUUUGCGACGUGGAUGAUGGAAACUUUGAUGCCAUACUAGGAGGUG